GACACCAGCUGGGCUAAUGCUAGUUAGCUAGCAGCUAUGAAGAUGGAUGAAGACGAGUUCUGCCACCACAAACAAAGAGUCACCAUCGCAGCAACAGGUGCAGAGGGACUCAGACGACAUUGAUAUGGACUUCAUGACAACACAAGUGGGCCUCCACGUCAGAUAAGCGCUAAUGCUAGUGAGCUAGCGGAGAUGAAGAUGGAUGAAGAGCAGUUCUACCACAAACAAACUAUCGCCAUCAUGCCGGCCAUUGGCCUCGACGUCAGAUAAGGCAGCCAAUUCCAUCUCCUCUCUCUGCUGCUCCUCCAACAUUUCCAUCUUCAACUGCUCCAGGAAUUCACUGUGCUCAUCAUCCAGCCAGGCCUCCUCCAGCUAAGGGUGAAUAAGGAAGGAAAGCAUAUGGAGAGAGAGAAAGGGGUCUGGCAACCAGCAGUAUGAUGUUCCGGCUCUCGUCACUGGAGAGUGCAGCCAUUGCUUCCUCUCUGUCUUGUACGUCUUGGCCAUUAAUCUGAAGAGGACAUACAAACAGGAUUAGCACACUCAGUGGGAUGAACCCACGGAGAUCAUCACCAAACUCUACUGUCUUCCUAGCUCUACUUAAGGGUGUAAGAAAACAUCGACACACUUGAGUAUUGCAGUACUAUGUUUUGUGAUACUGUAUUGAGUCACAAAAACACCAUUGAUUUUUCUUAAUUUGUUUUCCCGAAGAAUCCUGCUAGCACUUAUUUUCAUUUUUUUUACUGAUAAAGACAAAUGUUAAUUUCUUUGCU